rnacentral:rRNA from 1 species
CGUAAACGUUGGGAACUAGGUGUGGGGGACAUUCCACGGCGUCGGUGCCGCAGCUAACGCAUUAAGUUCCCCGCCUGGGGAGUACGGCCGCAAGGCUAAAACUCAAAGGAAUUGACGGGGGCCCGCACAAGCAGCGGAGCAUGUGGCUUAAUUCGACGCAACGCGAAGAACCUUACCAAGGCUUGACAUAUACCGGAAAGCAUCAGAGAUGGUGCCCCCCUUGUGGACGGUAUACAGGUGGUGGAUGGCUGGCCUCAGCUCCUGGCCUGAGAAGGUGGGUUAAGUCCCGCAACCAGCGCAACCCUUGUUCUGAGUUGCCAACAUGCCCUUCGGGGUGAUGGGGACUCACAGGAGACUGCCGGGGUCAACUCAGAGGAAGGUGAGGACGACGUCUAGUCAUCAUGCCCCUUAUGUCUUGGGCUGCGCACGUGCUACAAUGGCCGGUACAAUGAGCUGCGAUGCCGCGAGGCGGACCCAAUCUCACAAAGCCGGUCUCAAUUCGGAUUGGGGUCUGCAACUCGACCCCAUGAAGUCGGAAUUGCUAGUAAUCGCACAUCACUAUUGCUGCGGCGAAUACGUUCCCGGGACUUGUACACACCGCCCGUCACGUCACGAAAGACGGCAACACCCGAAGCCCGAGCCCCAACCCCUUGAGGCAGGGAACUGUCGAACGUGAGACU